CAGCCAGACUCCUACGGGAGGCAGCAGUGGGGAAUAUUGCACAAUGGGGGAAACCCUGAUGCAGCGACGCCGCGUGAGUGAAGAAGUAUUUCGGUCUGUAAAGCUCUAUCAGCAGGGAAGAAAAUGACGGCACCUGACUAAGAAGCCCCGACUAACUACGUGCCAGCAGCCGCGGUAAUACGUAGGGGGCAAGCGUUAUCCGGAUUUACUGGGUGUAAAGGGAGCGUAGACGGCAGUGCAAGUCUGGAGUGAAAGGCGGGGGCUCAACCCCCGGACUGCUCUGGAAACUGUACGGCUGGAGUGCAGGAGAGGUAAGUGGAAUUCCUAGUGUAGCGGUGAAAUGCGUAGAUAUUAGGAGGAACACCAGUGGCGAAGACGGCUUACUGGACUGUAACUGACGUUGAGGCUCGAAAGCGUGGGGAGCAAACAGGAUUAGAUACCCUGGUA
rnacentral:rRNA from 1 species